rnacentral:sRNA from 1 species
AUAAGUUUGGGGAGAGAAAGAACACCGAAAAAAAAAUAUAUAUAUAUAUAUAUAUAUAAAGAAUGGUCAAUUUAUCAUGGUAUAGUACAGGAAUGAGUCUAGAAGGAUCUUGAAUGUUGGCUUGUUUGAUGAGACCCAGCGAUGAAAGCCUGGUGGAUAUAGUUGUGGAACUUAGGUAUGAAAUCUAGAAUGUUGUGUAAGCUUGUAGAGAAGUACAUGUUGGUUAGGAUUUGAUUAGACUUGUUAGGCAUAUGGACUUAGUUUGGAUGAUCAUGGCAAUAGGCCAGAGAAUGUUGGGAGUUCCUUUGUUUUAAAACCCUCUUUCACGGGUUCGGCUUUUGUGUUUUGCUUGAGGGCAAGCAAAAACUAAGUCUGGGAGAGUUGAUAUAACCCGAUUUUCACCGAUUUUCUUUAUGUUUUAGGUAUACGAUUUUGAGUCUUUAUGUUAUUUCUCGAAUCUUUUUUGUGUCUUUUCAGGUAUUCUAUGCAAUGGGACAACAAUGGAGAUAAGGAGACAUUUUGGAGCAA